CAACUUCUCCAUCUAUUAUUCACAAAGUGCUUCACGAGGCAACUACUAAUUUUUUUGUCUAUCAUUAGGUGUGAGACAGAGAAAUUGUUCACAACACUAGCAAACUAUUAUGAUAAUGAUAUUAAUCCUGAUUCUACUAAAGGAUACAAGUCACGUGGCAUGGCAUGAGAAAUGCUUGGUCAAUGGGAAGAAGCUGUAAAGGAUCUUUAAUUGGUUUCAAAGGGAAGAACAAUCGUCUUCUAGUAGAAAUCUUAGAGGCAUGCUUUGUGGGUUUCUUGGUGGCAUGCUUUGUGACUUUCCAGGGGUUCUAAUGUUUGGUUCCAUUCUUUUUCUAUUCUAGUUAGUUUGUAAUUUUUCCCAUUUGAGGACUUAUUUGACGUGUGCCAAAACUUGAAUGUUCAUAAGCUCGUAACUUAAUCAAAAUCAUAAUGCCAUGUACUUGUCUU